rnacentral:rRNA from 1 species
AGUCGACGAUGAAUCUUCUAGCUUGCUAGAAGUGGAUUAGUGGCGCACGGGUGAGUAAUGCAUAGGUUAUGUGCCCUUUAGUCUGGGAUAGCCACUGGAAACGGUGAUUAAUACUGGAUACUCCCUACGGGGGAAAGUUUUUCGCUAAAGGAUCAGCCUAUGCCCUAUCAGCUUGUUGGUGAGGUAAUGGCUCACCAAGGCUAUGACGGGUAUCCGGCCUGAGAGGGUGAUCGGACACACUGGAACUGAGACACGGUCCAGACUCCUACGGGAGGCAGCAGUAGGGAAUAUUGCUCAAUGGGGGAAACCCUGAAGCAGCAACGCCGCGUGGAGGAUGAAGGUUUUAGGAUUGUAAACUCCUUUUGUUAGAGAAGAUUAUGACGGUAUCUAACGAAUAAGCACCGGCUAACUCCGUGCCAGCAGCCGCGGUAAUACGGAGGGUGCAAGCGUUACUCGGAAUCACUGGGCGUAAAGAGUGCGUAGGCGGGGUAAUAAGUCAGAUGUGAAAUCCUGUAGCUUAACUACAGAACUGCAUUUGAAACUGUUACUCUGGAGUGUGGGAGAGGUAGGUGGAAUUCUUGGUGUAGGGGUAAAAUCCGUAGAGAUCAAGAGGAAUACUCAUUGCGAAGGCGACCUGCUGGAACAUUACUGACGCUGAUGCACGAAAGCGUGGGGAGCAAACAGGAUUAGAUACCCUGGUAGUCCACGCCCUAAACGAUGGAUGCUAGUUGUUGCCUUGCUUGUCAGGGCAGUAAUGCAGCUAACGCAUUAAGCAUCCCGCCUGGGGAGUACGGUCGCAAGAUUAAAACUCAAAGGAAUAGACGGGGACCCGCACAAGCGGUGGAGCAUGUGGUUUAAUUCGAAGAUACGCGAAGAACCUUACCUAGGCUUGACAUUG